UACGGGGGGGGCAAGCGUUGUUCGGAAUUACUGGGCGUAAAGGGCUCGUAGGUGGCCAACUAAGUCAGACGUGAAAUCCCUCGGCUUAACCGGGGAACUGCGUCUGAUACUGGAUGGCUAGAGUUUGGGAGAGGGAUGCGGAAUUCCAGGUGUAGCGGUGAAAUGCGUAGAUAUCAGGAGGAACACCUGUGGUGUAGACGGCUCUCUGGACAGUAACUGACGCUGAGACACGAAAGCGUGGGUAGCAAACAGG
rnacentral:rRNA from 1 species